GGCGCUUGUACGUGUGGGACCUUCCUUGCUGCUCCACUGUGGGCCUCUGAGCUUAACAGACACCCACAGACAUUCACUACAUCGAGAACCCAGCUGCAGCAUAGGCCUGUUGAGUAUUCCAUAUGUCUCCCGGCAGACGAGGUCCUUGCAACACCACCCAACUGCAGGUGGAAAACCUGAGCAAGGUUCCGCCCACCAACCGGGUUGCAGAGAAGAUCCCCAAACCAACAUCUUGCUGGGUUUAGCACAGGCAAGCAGAUCUCCUGUUGUACGUGGUUUGCCGGAGGGGAAGGAUUAUGAAAGAAUUAGCUUCUAUCUUCAGAUCCAGAACUGUAUCCAGGCUGGUAUUGAACAGAAACAGACCGUGAGUUUAUCGUCCUGCCUCUGCCUUCCCACUGCUGGGAUUCCAUGUGUUGAGCAUGCCCGCUGUUAAUAGGUGCUGGGGAUGGAUCUCAGGACAGACGAAGCAAGCACUCUACAGUGUCUGUACCAUGGUACCAGUGGAAGCCAGAGAGAGAGCUGGAGUCACAGUUGUCAGCCAGCAUGUCGGGGCUAGGAAUGCAACCUGUGUCUCCUGCCAGCGUAGCCAUUGCUCCAGCCCCUCUUUAAACAUAACAUGGUGGAGAACGUGGAUGGACUUUCAGAUGUAGCGGCUUUGAAUGUCAGGAAUAAAUUUCUUGGCCAUCUUGUUUCUUUUUGUGCAUUGCUGAAUUCAGUGGACACCUCUCUAUACGUGCUUCUCUUCCUUAUUUUACUGGGUUUUAAUUUGCCAAUUCUAAAUGUACUUUCUAACACUUACUUGUGUUCAGUGCUUAGCACGCCCGGGCACAGGUGUGAAAGACAGGCCGAUUUGCAGGGG
rnacentral:lncRNA from 1 species